AGUAUUGGAUUAUGUAAAUGUAAAUAUAAAAUUUGCAUAAUAUGACAUGAUUUUGCAUUUAGCUAUUCUACUUAAAACUUAUUCUCAUAUUGAAUUAUCCAUAUAUUAGUCAAAAUAAUAAUAAAAUAUUAGAAAUUUAAUAAUAUUUUUUUUUUCAAUUUAUUUUUUAUUCUAUUAAUUUUUUUUUCAUAGAUUAAGAUUUCAUCUUCUGAAAACGUUGGAAA